rnacentral:rRNA from 1 species
GUCUACGGCCAUGCCACCCUGAACGUGCCCAAUCUCAUCUGAUCUCGGAAGCUAAGCAGGGUCGGGCCUGGUUAGUACUUGGAUGGAAGACCACCUAGGAGGACCAGGUGCUGUAGGCA